UACGUAGGGCGCAAGCGUUAUCCGGAAUUAUUGGGCGUAAAGAGCUCGUAGGCGGUUUGUCGCGUCUGCCGUGAAAGUCCGGGGCUCAACUCCGGAUCUGCGGUGGGUACGGGCAGACUAGAGUGAUGUAGGGGAGACUGGAAUUCCUGGUGUAGCGGUGAAAUGCGCAGAUAUCAGGAGGAACACCGAUGGCGAAGGCAGAUCUCUGGGCCGUAACUGACGCUGAGCACGAAGGUCAGGGGAGCAAACGGG
rnacentral:rRNA from 1 species